CACUGUCUGCAAAUGAGUGGAUACCGUUUUGCAACUAAUUUAUUUGCAAUGUUUGCUAAAGGGAAGUGGCUGGGGAAGUAGUCAGGGAAGUGGUCCAGGUCAGGGAAGUGGCUGGGGAAGUAGUCAGGGAAGUGGUCCAGGUCAGGGAAGUGGCUGGGGAAGUAGUCAGGGAAGUGGUCCAGGUCAGGGAAGUGGCUGGGGAAGUAGUCAGGGAAGUGGUCCAGGUCAGGGAAGUGGCUGGGGAAGUAGUCAGGGAAGUGGUCCAGGUCAGGGAAGUGGCUGGGGAAGUAGUCAGGGAAGUGGUCCAGGUCAGGGAAGUGGCUGGGGAAGUAGUCAGGGAAGUGGUCAGGGAAGUGGUCAAGGAAGUGGUCAAGGUCAGGAAAGUGGUUGGGCAAGUGGUCAUGGUCAGGGAAGUAGUCAAGGUCAGGAAAGUGGUUGGGCAAGUGGUCAUGGUCAAGGAAGUGGUCAAGGUCAGGAAAGUGGUUGGGCAAGUGGUCAUGGUCAGGGAAGUGGUUGGGGAAGUGGCUGGGGAAGUAGUCAAGGUCAGGGAAGUGGCUGGGGAAGUAGUCAAGGUCAAGGAAGUGGUCAGGAAAGUGGUCCUGGUUGGGGAAGUGGCUGGGGAAGUAGUCAGGGAAGUGGUCCAAUUCAGUGCUUUAUUCAUAUGGCAUGUUUUCCAUGUUUGCUCAAACAGUUAAGAGAUUUCUGUCUUUCUCUUGGCCCCUCCCCCCCACCCCCAAAAAAAAUUAAAAGAAUUGCGAUUUGAGGAGUUGAUGGAGGUGUGUGUGUGUGGUUUUUGUUUAUUGCAAAUGAUUUAUUCUGAAGCCAU
rnacentral:lncRNA from 1 species